rnacentral:rRNA from 1 species
AUUGAACGCUGGCGGCAUGCCUUACACAUGCAAGUCGAACGGUAACAGGUCUUCGGAUGCUGACGAGUGGCGAACGGGUGAGUAAUACAUCGGAACGUGCCCGAUCGUGGGGGAUAACGAGGCGAAAGCUUUGCUAAUACCGCAUACGAUCUACGGAUGAAAGCGGGGGAUCUUCGGACCUCGCGCGGACGGAGCGGCCGAUGGCAGAUUAGGUAGUUGGUGGGAUAAAAGCUUACCAAGCCGACGAUCUGUAGCUGGUCUGAGAGGAUGAUCAGCCACACUGGGACUGAGACACGGCCCAGACUCCUACGGGAGGCAGCAGUGGGGAAUUUUGGGCAAUGGGCGAAAGCCUGAUCCAGCCAUGCCGCGUGCAGGAUGAAGGCCUUUGGGUUGUAAACUGCUUUUGUACGGAACGAAAAGCCUCUUUCUAAUAAAGAGGGGUCAUGACGGUACCGUAAGAAUAAGCACCGGCUAACUACGUG